AUUGAACGCUGGCGGCAUGCCUUACACAUGCCAGUCGAACGGUAGCGGGCCUUCGGGUGCCGCCGAGUGGCGGACGGUGGCGUAAGGCAUCGGAACGUACCCGAACGUAGGUUUUCGCGGGGCGUAAGGUAUGCUAAUACACCAUACGAUCUCAGGCGACCAACGGGGGACCGCAAGGGAUUUCGCGGCCUUGCGCGCCGAUGUCAGAUUAGGUAGUUGGUGGGAUAAAGGCGUACCAAGGCGACGAUCUGUAGCUGGUCUGAGAGGAUGAUCAGCCACACUGGGACUGAGACACGGUCCAGACUCCUACGGGAGGCAGCAGUGGGGAAUUUUGGACAAUGGGCGCAAGCCUGAUCCAGCCAUGCCGCGUGCAUGAUGAAGGCCUUCGGGUUGUAAACCGCUUUUGUAGGGAACGAAAAGCAUCCGGUUAAUACAGCGGUGUUAUGACGGUACCGAAAGAAUAAGCACCGGCUAACUACGUG
rnacentral:rRNA from 1 species